rnacentral:lncRNA from 1 species
UCUCCAUUUUUCUUGAACUCUACUAUCAUUUUCAAAUUUUCUUAAUUCUUGACUUUCUAUCCUUUUUAUCUGCUAUCAUUCUUGCUUCCAAAUUCUAUUCAUUAUGUUUUCUUCUCCUUUUUCUCUUACCAAAACCUUUCUUCUCGGAGGUUUCCCAAAGAAAGAUAAAAGGAAUAAUGAUGUGCCUUUCAAGCCUUGCAUCGAUACUAUUAUUCUCGAGGCCUUUGAUUUCAAAAUGAUUUUAAAGUUCAACCCUGUAUAUUGGUCAGAACCAUAGAACUGCCAGCUCCUAUAGCUCUUUAAUUAAAAUGAGGACAUUCAUAUUUCUCUAAAGGAAAUAAGCAUAGUUCGGGUCCUGACCCUUAAAAACUUUGUGAGAAACCUAACUAUAUGUUC